UUAGACUCCAUCUGUGUAAUUAGUUUUAUAAUUAGACUAUAUUUAAUACUCCUAAUUAGUAUCAAACAUCCGAUGUGAUAGGUGCUAAAGUUUAGCACAUGAGAACUAAACACCCCCUAUAUAUAUGUCGAGAUCCGGAUGCAUGUUAAUCAAGAGGGUAUUUGGACACAGGUUGCUGACAGUUCUACAUUCAACACAUCCUAAUUUGGUAUAGUGUCAGGUCAAUGCACUGAGCAUUAUUGAAUAAUUAAAGUGCACAAUAAUGUCUGGAGUUAUUCAAACACUAGUAGUAACUACACGAAACAGGGAAAUAAAGCAGCUACUAAACUGUGAUCCACAUUACGAUACAAACCAUUAUAAAAGUUUCAAAUUCCUCAGUCUUAGUGUAUUAAAUUUCAUACCACAUCAGCAAUUUUGCUAACUUGACAAGAUAUUUAUGAAGAGGGAGAAUGAAGAGUUUUAUCAUAUGAGAGUUUUAUCCUAUGAAACUCAACCAUCACGGUUAACUAACAGUGCAAUGAAAUUGUGCACCGACACCACGGAAAAAUUAGUUGCGCCUUUCAGACGACUCACCCAACCUUUUGUUGCCCUCAGCGCCAUUUACGUCGCUUCCGUUAGUGCAACUUGCCGUUGGAACUCAGAUUUUUAUGAAAAUGGCCAAAGUACCCCUGCUACAAGCGGGCCCACUUGGAAGGCUCGAAUUUUCAACAAAAACCAACCGGCCUCCGUUCCGCUCCUCUUGGCCGCAGGCCCGCCGCCGCUCCCCUCCCCUUUCCCACCUCCCGGCCUCCGCUCCUCUCCCGUCCAGGCCAGCGCUCGCCGCUUCUGUCCCGAUCGCCGCCCGCUGCUCCGCUCCUCUCUCCUCUCGGCCUCUGCUGCCUCGCUCCACUCCCGUUCGUGGUGGAGACCGCGCUGGACGAGGCCGCCUGAGCGCGCACCGGCUUGGCUUGGCUGCGCCGCCAUUCUCUUGGGCGUCCCUGAACGGGAGCUUGAAAGGAGCAAGUGCCACGGCUUUCGAGCCUCGGCGCGCCUCCGCUUGCCCGUAAUCCCGACGUCAUGAUGGUGCAGGGGCCGUCCCCUGGGCGCCAUCGAGACCGCCGAUGACGACAAGGAGGAGGCCUCCGCAAUGCUGCGACUACAAGCAGCAGUCCCUGCUGGCGUCUCCCUGCCUGCAAGAGCACCCGUCCAACAACGGCCAUGGCGAGUGCCGCAGUUUAUUUUUGAAAGAAAGGAGCCGCAGGUUUCAGUGGCGGGCAGGAGAGAUAAGAUUGAACGGUGAAAUCAGGAGAGAUAGGAUUGAAUGGUGGUGGGUCCCAUCUUAUUUUGGAUUUCUUUUGAAGAGAGGGAGUGGCUGGUUGAGGUCAGGGGUAAAAUGGACGUUUCCCUCGCUGUUACAGCAGUGGUACUGAGGUCCAAAAAAGUUCACUGGAUGGCAUGAGAGACGUCACAAGUUUUCUGGUGGCAGAUACGGAACUGGAAUCUUUUAUUUUUUUGAAGGCUUGUUGUUGCGGACAGCAUAACUCAGAGUUCAUGCUGAGAGAAGAUAGAAGAAGAAUGCAUGCAAGAAGUGACGUACACAAGAAGUUUGAGCAGACUCCUUUGACAACCUCUCCCGCCUCGUUUGUGUAAACAAGCCUCUUGA